rnacentral:rRNA from 1 species
GUGAACGCUGGCGGUAGGCCUAACACCUGCAAGUCGAACGGCAGCACAGUAAGAGCUUGCUCUUACGGGUGGCGAGUGGCGGACGGGUGAGGGAUACAUCGGAAUCUACUUUUUCGUGGGGGAUAACGUAGGGAAACUUACGCUAAUACCGCAUACGACCUACGGGUGAAAGCAGGGGAUCUUCGGACCUUGCGCGAUUGAAUGAGCCGAUGUCGGAUUAGCUAGUUGGCGGGGUAAAGGCCCACCAAGGCGACGAUCCGUAGCUGGUCUGAGAGGAUGAUCAGCCACACUGGAACUGAGACACGGUCCAGACUCCUACGGGAGGCAGCAGUGGGGAAUAUUGGACAAUGGGCGCAAGCCUGAUCCAGCCAUACCGCGUGGGUGAAGAAGGCCUUCGGGUUGUAAAGCCCUUUUGUUGGGAAAGAAAAGCAGCAGGUUAAUACCCCGCUGUUCUGACGGUACCCAAAGAAUAAGCACCGGCUAACUUCGUG